rnacentral:rRNA from 1 species
GAUGAACGCUAGCGGCAGGCCUAAUACAUGCAAGUCGAGGGGUAGAAGAGGCUUGCUUCUUUGAGACCGGCGCACGGGUGCGUAACGCGUAUGCAACCUACCUUCAUCUGGGGGAUAGCCCGGAGAAAUCCGGAUUAAUACCGCAUAAAAUCACAGGAUGGCAUUAUCCAAUGAUCAAACAUUUAUGGGAUGGAGAUGGGCAUGCGUGUCAUUAGCUAGUUGGCGGGGUAACGGCCCACCAAGGCGACGAUGACUAGGGGAUCUGAGAGGAUGGCCCCCCACACUGGUACUGAGACACGGACCAGACUCCUACGGGAGGCAGCAGUAAGGAAUAUUGGUCAAUGGAGGAAACUCUGAACCAGCCAUGCCGCGUGCAGGAAGACUGCCCUAUGGGUUGUAAACUGCUUUUAUUCGGGAACAAACCUUAUUACGUGUAAUAAGCUGAAUGUACCGAAGGAAUAAGGAUCGGCUAACUCCGUGCCAGCAGCCGCGGUAA